CUAUUGUGUAAUGAAUAAAAAGGCUGUUUAUUGUUUUCCUCAAGUCGUAUCAUGUUGUCCAUUUUUAAAACAAGUCCCAAUUGAAGCCAAUGAGGAGUUCAGCUUAGAAACAACUGGCAAAGGUGGUACCGCACAACAGGAAGCAGGAUCUUGCAGCAGGAUCAGAUGAUUGUUCUUUCAGACUCUGCCGAUUUGGAUCCAUUUAUGGAGAGAGAACAAGCACCUCAAGGGAAAGAGAAAAAAGAAUGGCAAACUGGGAAAAUACUUUCUCUGUCAGCACUACACUAUGAAUAGGAUUUGCCACUUUGCUCAGUAAUAAACAACAAUUCAUUCCUUCCCUGGUAGAGAAGCAAGCACAUAUCCUUGGCUAAAAACAUCCC